AAUCAACGCUGGCGGCGUGCCUCAGACAUGCAAGUCGAACGAUUAAAGCUCUCUUCGGAGAGUGUAUAGAGUGGCGCACGGGUGAGUAACACGUAAGUAAUCUACCCUCGAGUGGGGAAUAACAACCGGAAACGGUUGCUAAUACCGCAUAAUGCAGCGGCACCGCAAGGUGACAGUUGUUAAAGAUUUAUCGCUUGAGGAGGAGCUUGCGGCAGAUUAGCUAGUUGGUAGGGUAACGGCUUACCAAGGCUACGGUCUGUAACCGGUCUAAGAGGACGGUCGGUCACACUGACACUGAAUAACGGGUCAGACUCCUACGGGAGGCAGCAGUCGGGAAUUUUGGGCAAUGGGCGAAAGCCUGACCCAGCAACGCCGCGUGAAGGAUGAAGUAUUUCGGUAUGUAAACUUCGAAAGAAUAGGAAGAAUUAAUGACGGUACUAUUUAUAAGGUCCGGCUAACUACGUG
rnacentral:rRNA from 1 species